rnacentral:tRNA from 1 species
CGUAGGGUAGAGCAGUCAGGUAGCUCGUCGCGCUCAUAACGCGGAGGCCGCCGGUUCAAAUCCGGCCCCUGCAA